GUACCAACUAUACAUCAACGAAGUUUCGCGAAAUUCGCACCGAUGAGAGUGAAGUUACAGGCAUGGACGUGUUUUCGCGCUCGUUAGUGGGGUACUUUCGGACAAAAUGACGACGACGGCCAGGAAAACCACGAAUUUAUACUGCCACACCCGAAAAUAAGAAGUGCUAAUCCGCACGAAAGAUUUAAAAAUGUGAUUCUAAAUUUAAGAUACCUAACUAAUUAAAUUUUGUUUUACUUAAGAAAAGCUAUGUAAUUUUUGUUCACUAUAAGAAGAAGUAUUUUAUUUUUGUUUAAUAGAAGUUAAAUCUUUAUUUUUGUGUUUAAUUUCAUUGCUAAUAAAUGAAUUUUGAUUUA